CCUACGGGUGGCAGCAGUGGGGAAUAUUGCACAAUGGGGGUAACCCUGAUGCAGCAACGCCGCGUGAGUGAAGAAGUAUUUCGGUAUGUAAAGCUCUAUCAGCAGGGAAGAAAAUGACGGUACCUGAGUAAGAAGCCCCGGCUAACUACGUGCCAGCAGCCGCGGUACUACGUAGGGGGCAAGCGUUAUCCGGAUUUACUGGGUGUAAAGGGAGCGUAGACGGUUAGACAAGUCUGAAGUGAAAGCCCGAGGCUCAACCCUGGGACUGCUUUGGAAACUGUAAGACUGGAGUGCAGGAGAGGCAAGCGGAAUUCCUAGUGUAGCGGUGAAAUGCGUAGAUAUUAGGAAGAACACCAGUGGCGAAGGCGGCUUACUGGACAGUAACUGACGUUGAGGCUCGAAAGCGUGGGGAGCAAACAGGAUUAGAUACCCGUGUAGUC
rnacentral:rRNA from 1 species